UAACUAUGCCUGGUAAUUUAGAAUGAG
rnacentral:piRNA from 1 species